UACGUAGGGUGCAAGCGUUGUCCGGAAUUAUUGGGCGUAAAGAGCUCGUAGGCGGUUCAGUAAGUCUGCUGUGAAAGUCCAAGGCUCAACCUUGGGAUGCCGGUGGAUACUGCUGAGCUAGAGUACGGAAGAGGCGAGUGGAAUUCCCGGUGUAGCGGUGAAAUGCGCAGAUAUCGGGAGGAACACCUAUUGCGAAGGCAGCUCGCUGGGACGUUACUGACGCUGAGACGCGAAAGCGUGGGGAGCAAACAGG
rnacentral:rRNA from 1 species